UGGGCGUAAAGCGUACCGAUAGGUGGUUCAUUAAGUCUUGGGUAAAAGCCGGAAGCUCAACUUCCGCGUUUGCUUAAGAUACUAAUAGACUAGAGGGGCAAAGAGGUGCUUGGAUCCAACGGUGUAGUAGUGAAAUGCGUUGAUAUCGUUGGGAACACCGAAAGCGAAGGCAGAGCACUGGGUGCCACCUGACACUGCUAGGACGAAAGCGUGGGUAGCGAAUGGGAUUAGAUACCCCAGUAGUCCACGCUGUAAACGAUGAAUACUAGGCAUACGCGAGUAUCGACCCUCGUAUGUGCCGUAGCUAACGCGAUAAGUAUUCCGCCUGGGGAGUACGGUCGCAAGACUAAAACUCAAAGGAAUUGACGGGGACCCGCACAAGCGGUGGAGCAUGUGGUUUAAUUCGACGAUAAGCGAGGAACCUUACCAGGGUCUGACAUGUACCUUCAAGCGCACGGAAACGUGUGAUCUUCGAGAGUGGUACACAGGUGCUGCACGGUUGUCGUCAGCUCGUGUCGUGAGAUGUACCGUUAAGUCGGGUAACGAGCGCAACCCCUACUCUAUGUUUUACGUGUCAUAGAGAACUGUCUGCUUUAAGCAGGAGGAAGGUGGGGAUGACGUCAAAUCAGCAUGGUUCUUACACCUUGGGCGACACACGUGCUACAAUGGUGGACACAAAGGGACGCCAAACCGUAAGGUGGAGCAAAUCCCAAAAAAUCCCUCUCAGUUCGGAUUGAGGUCUGCAACUCGACCUCAUGAAGCUGGAAUCGCUAGUAAUCGUGGAUC
rnacentral:rRNA from 1 species